AAACCAGCACCUCAAGUGGUCAGGAUGAUUAUUGGGCCUAAAGCAUCCGUAGCCGGCUCUGUAAGUUUUCGGUUAAAUCUGUACGCUUAACGUACAGGCCGCCGGGAAUACUGCAGAGCUAGGGAGUGGGAGAGGUAGACGGUACUCGGGAGGAAGUGGUAAAAUGCUUUGAUCUCUCGAUGACCACCUGUGGCGGAGGCGGUCUACCAGAACACGUCCGACGGUGAGGGAUGAAAGCUGGGGGAGCAAACCGGAUUAGAAACCCGAGUAGUCC
rnacentral:rRNA from 1 species